CGGAGGUGCGAGCGUUAAUCGGAAUUACUGGCGUAAAGCGCAUGCAGGUGGUUCAUUAAGUCAGAUGUGAAAGCCCGGGCUCAACCUCGGAACCGCAUUUGAAACUGGUGAACUAGAGUGCUGUAGAGGGGUAGAAUUUCAGGUGUAGCGGUGAAAUGCGUAGAGAUCUGAAGGAAUACCAGUGGCGAAGGCGGCCCCCUGGACAGACACUGACACUCAGAUGCGAAAGCGUGGGAGCAAACAGGAUU
rnacentral:rRNA from 1 species